rnacentral:rRNA from 1 species
UAAAGUGGCGUACGGGUGAGUAACACGUGGAUUAUCUACCUCUUAGUGGGGAAUAACCCUGGGAAACCGGAGCUAAUACCGCAUAAGCCUGGAAAGGGAAAGCAGCAAUGCGCUGAGAGAGGAGUCCGCGGCCGAUUAGCUAGUUGGCAGGGUAAAAGCCUACCAAGGCUAUGAUCGGUAGCCGGCCUGAGAGGGCACACGGCCACACUGGCACUGAAACACGGGCCAG